rnacentral:tRNA from 1 species
GUCCCGGUAGCUCAGCUGGAUAGAGCGGCGCCCUCCUAAGGCGCAGGCCACAGGUUCGACUCCUGUCCGGGACGCCA